rnacentral:rRNA from 1 species
UAGUCGUGCGCUUCCUAGCCACGAAGGGAGCGCGGCGCACANNUCAGUAGCACGUGGCUAACCUGCCCUUGGGACGGGAACAACCCCGGGAAACUGGGGCUAAUUCCUGAUAGGUGAAGAACUCUGGAAUGAGUCUUUGCCGAAAGGGCGUUUACAUCAUGCUCGUAGGCGCUGCCCAAGGAUGGGGCCGCGGCCGAUCAGGUUGUUGGUGAGGUAACGGCUCACCAAGCCUAUAACCGGUGCGGGCCGUGAGAGCGGGAGCCCGGAGAUGGGCACUGAGACAAGGGCCCAGGCCCUACGGGGCGCAGCAGUUGCGAAAACUCCGCAAUGCACGAAAGUGUGACGGGGCUACCCCGAGUGCCGUCCGCUGAGGAUGGCUUUUCUCUGCUGUAAGGGGGCGGAGGAAUAAGGAGAGGGCAAGUCUGGUGUCAGCCGCCGCGGUAAUACCAGCUCUCCGAGUGGUAGGGAUGAUUAUUGGGCUUAAAGCGUCCGUAGCCGGCCUAUCAAGUCUCUGGUUAAACCUCAAGGCUCAACCUUGAGAUUGCUGGAGAUACUGUUAGGCUAGGGGGCGGGAGAGGUUGAGGGUACUUCGCGGGUAGGGGCGAAAUCCUAUAAUCCUAGGAGGACCACCUGUGGCGA